rnacentral:rRNA from 1 species
UUGAACGCUGGCGGCAGGCCUAACACAUGCAAGUCGAGCGGUAGCACAGAGAGCUUGCUCUCGGGUGACGAGCGGCGGACGGGUGAGUAAUGUCUGGGAAACUGCCUGAUGGAGGGGGAUAACUACUGGAAACGGUAGCUAAUACCGCAUAACGUCGCAAGACCAAAGUGGGGGACCUUCGGGCCUCAUGCCAUCAGAUGUGCCCAGAUGGGAUUAGCUAGUAGGUGGGGUAACGGCUCACCUAGGCGACGAUCCCUAGCUGGUCUGAGAGGAUGACCAGCCACACUGGAACUGAGACACGGUCCAGACUCCUACGGGAGGCAGCAGUGGGGAAUAUUGCACAAUGGGCGCAAGCCUGAUGCAGCCAUGCCGCGUGUGUGAAGAAGGCCUUCGGGUUGUAAAGCACUUUCAGCGGGGAGGAAGGCGAUAAGGUUAAUAACCUUGUCGAUUGACGUUACCCGCAGAAGAAGCACCGGCUAACUCCGUGCCAGCAGCCGCGGUAAUACGGAGGGUGCAAGCGUUAAUCGGAAUUACUGGGCGUAAAGCGCACGCAGGCGGUCUGUCAAGUCGGAUGUGAAAUCCCCGGGCUCAACCUGGGAACUGCAUUCGAAACUGGCAGGCUAGAGUCUUGUAGAGGGGGGUAGAAUUCCAGGUGUAGCGGUGAAAUGCGUAGAGAUCUGGAGGAAUACCGGUGGCGAAGGCGGCCCCCUGGACAAAGACUGACGCUCAGGUGCGAAAGCGUGGGGAGCAAACAGGAUUAGAUACCCUGGUAGUCCACGCCGUAAACGAUGUCGAUUUGGAGGUUGUGCCCUUGAGGCGUGGCUUCCGGAGCUAACGCGUUAAAUCGACCGCCUGGGGAGUACGGCCGCAAGGUUAAAACUCAAAUGAAUUGACGGGGGCCCGCACAAGCGGUGGAGCAUGUGGUUUAAUUCGACGCAACGCGAAGAACCUUACCAGGUCUUGACAUCCACUUAAACUUACAGAGAUGUAAGGUGUGCUUGCACAAAGUGAGACAGGUGGUGCAUGGUUGUCGUCAGCUCGUGUCGUGAGAUGUUGGGUUAAGUCCCGCAACGAGCGCAACCCUUAUCCUUUGUUGCCAGCGGUUAGGCCGGGAACUCAAAGGAGACUGCCAGUGAUAAACUGGAGGAAGGUGGGGAUGACGUCAAGUCAUCAUGGCCCUUACGACCAGGGCUACACACGUGCUACAAUGGCAUAUACAAAGAGAAGCGACCUCGCGAGAGCAAGCGGACCUCAUAAAGUAUGUCGUAGUCCGGAUUGGAGUCUGCAACUCGACUCCAUGAAGUCGGAAUCGCUAGUAAUCGUAGAUCAGAAUGCUACGGUGAAUACGUUCCCGGGCCUUGUACACACCGCCCGUCACACCAUGGGAGUGGGUUGCAAAAGAAGUAGGUAGCUUAACCUUCGGGAGGGCGCUUACCACUUUGUGAUUCAUGACUGGGGUG